ACCAGCCAGUGAAACCUCUGGAUAGAGCCGUCUUCUGGAUUGAGUUUGUCAUGCGCCACAAAGGAGCCAAGCACCUUCGUGUGGCAGGGCAUGACCUCAGCUGGGUCCAAUACCACUCUCUGGAUGUCAUUGGGUUCCUGCUGGCCUGUGUGGUGACUGUGAUGUUCAUCCUCAAAAAGUGUUGCCUCUUUUGUUGUCAGAAGUUUACAAAAGCUGGAAGAAAGAAGAAAAAGGAGUAGAUGAACUGAAGAAGACUGACACAAGGACCUCUCCAGUGCCACACAGUAAGGGGGGCAAUGAUGGUAGGGUCCUUCAGCCUGUGACAAGAUAAUUUUUCAAUAAUUAUCAAGUCAGAAAACUUUUUUCCCAGAUAAUUGAUAGUUCUUUUGGAAUUAGUAGGAUUUCAGCCAAAGAUAAAAUUGAAAGGGAAACAUAAGUAAAAUUAACAGCGUCAACAUGAAUACACAUAGAAAUUCAUUUCUGCAGCAUAAAAGUUAAAUCAAAGAAUGUUAUGGCUGAAGCAUUGGCUCUCUGAUCUAAUCAUUUGUCAGGCAAGACUUCCCUUUUGGUUUUGGAUGCCAGGAACUCAUAUAAAAGCCUUAUCCAGUAGCAUCUGGUACUGCAGUAUAAGAAAAUCAGGAGAUGUGAGAUGCAUUCAGGACAAGUGCCUGAAGCUCUCAGGCCAAGUAGCCUGGUUCUCAGCAAGAAAUAGCCUACCUCAUAGAAUGUGAAAGGGAAACAUAACACUGGAGGAGGUGGUCUUAUGUCCCAUAGGUGUGCCCUAGCAUAUGUGUGCCCCACUCACAAAUUAACAAGCACAAAUUAACAAGCAUGUAAAUAUACACAUAUAUACAGGCUUUAAAUUCACACAUACACACACACACCAAAUUUUUCUGGCGACUAACAGUUUGUAGAUACAAGGUCACUAAGAAGCACACUCGCAACUAUACGGUUUUACAAGCAUUGAACAAACCAUUUUUUGCAAACUUUAAAGGACAAAUCUCUAGAUUAAAGUGUUCAGAAUUGGAGUUGUGAAUCCCCUAACCUACAUUUGUCUUUCAUAGACCAAUACUGUUGCAGAGUCUCAUGUACAAUGUGCCUCUGAAUGACCUCUUCCUUAAAGGACCUACCAAGAUUGUACUUGGACCUGAAGGGAUGACUCCACAGUUACUAACUCUAGGUUCCUCUUCCAUAGAACCCUCCCCAUUCCUUUCCCCCCUCCAUAUGAUGAUGACUCUGGACCAGCAGUAUCUCAAGUGUCAUAGCCUCUUCCACCCUCUUCUGCCCUCUGUUUGGUGCUGCAUUCAUGUGGCACAGAGACAGUGUGAAAGAAGCUCACAUACACAUAAAGGAUUAAAGAAAAUUUUUGAUUCGUGAAAUGAGUUCUGUUUCCCUUCAACAUUAUAAAGAAUAAUGAGAUUCCUUUAGUCUUCUAGUUAGCCAUUGCAAAUAGAUGUAAGAUCUCAAUUUGUUUGAAUAAUACAGAAUAAAGACACAAAAUAAGUUGUUCUUGCCCAGUUGCAAGGUCUAUGAGUGUAGUGUGUGUCCCCUUCUGUAGAGCAAUAUAAUUUACCUAUGCUUUUUGUGUCUAUGUGGUGGAUUUAA
rnacentral:lncRNA from 1 species